rnacentral:rRNA from 4 species
GACCUCGGAUCAGGUAGGGAUACCCGCUGAACUUA